GCAGGCCGGGCGGGGAGCAGACAGGCCAGGGCUGGGGCCCAUUAAGGCCGGAGCCCGGCCGCGCUGUUUACCAUCUCAGCACAAGGUUUCAGGGGAUCUCCGCAAAGUCUGAAAGUUCUCUCUGGAUUUGCUCUGCAACCGCAGCUGCCUGUGAGGGAGUUUCUACUAGUGCUUGCCUCUUCACCCAGACCAGUCUCAAAUACCCACAGUUGAUUGUGAACAGCGUUGCCAAAUGUAAAUCUUCAAAGUCCAGAGUGUAUUUCUGCUUCCAACACAUGUCAAUUCCAACUAGGCACAGGUCAAGUGCUGACUAGCCACAGGUGACGAGUGGCUACUGUAUUGAACAACACAGAUCUAGAAACAGAGUGUGGACCUGGAGGGACCCAGAGUACAGAAGAUAACGAAAAUAAUGCAGAGGCAGGGUUGGUAUACUGUGCAAGGGAAGCAGGAAGCGGGAGGGAUAUUGACUUGGGAGCUAAGAGUCCUGGGUUCUACUCUUGGUGCUGAUGCUACGUGACCAGGGAGCUUGAAUAAAUACUUCACCUUCUCUAGAUAUUACAACUAUAUUACAAUGAGAAGAUUGGCCUGAAGACUCUUCCAGCUUGAACAUUCAACCACCACCGCCUCCUAUCUCCCCACACACCGAGGAUAUCUAGUUAUUAGUAAAAACAGGAAGUCCAGUAAGUGAUGCAGUUCUCAGGAAGCAAGAUGAGCACUGGUAGAGCCCCAUUUCUCCAGACCAUAAAAGUGUGGCCUCUUCUGGAAAUAUCCCUGGUUUUGUGGAACUUGGCCCUUCACUCCUCACAACCAAAGGACACUGAAACUCGGCCUUGGACUGUCACAGAUAGACACUUAAAUCAAUGCAGAUUCAGGUCACCUUUCCAACAACAGGAGCAGUUUAAGCACAAGUCAGCCCAGGGGUAUAUCAGGCAGUCAGUUCUCACCUUUUUGAGAACCCUCCUGGCUCAGUGUUUCUCAGUCUUCAUUCAUGGGCAUCCACCUCCACGUUCUAUGUACCCCAUAUCAACCAAAAAGGUUUUGAUACAAGCUUGACUUUCCGGAGGUCAGAUCACGGGGAAGAAAAUAGGUAUCUUGAAUCUGCUUCUACAAACUACACAUGCCCUUGGGAAUUCUGUAAUCUACCACCACCACAUCCCUACCUCCUGACCAAGCUCACAGUCAUUGGCCUAAAUGAAAACACUUUUUCCAUUAGAGAAGUGUUUUUAGUAGGGUUCUAAUCCUGAGAUUUCAGAAGACAAGGGAAUUUUCCAGUGAUUUGGGCUAGUUAUAAUCCACUUGGAGCCAUGUUGGCCUAUUAGAAUUAUUAUUCUAAAGAAAAUAUAGCCUGCUUAAAGUUAUUACUGGAGUAGCCUUAUCACCAAGGUCAAAUGUAGAAUGAAAAUAAGUAUUCUACUUCCAGUUCAUAAAAAGAAAUAAUUUUUCUUUUUGUUUUAUUAUUAUUAUUUUGAGACAGAGUCUCACUCUGUCACCCAGGCUGGAGUGCAGUGGCGUGACCACAGCACACUGCAACCUGGACCUCCCGGGCUCAAGGGGUCCUCCUGCCUCAGCCUUCUGAGUAGCUGGGACUACAGGUGUGUGCCACCACACCUGGCUAAUUUUUUUAAAAUUUUUUUGUAAAUACAGGGUGUCGCCAUGCUUCCCAGGCUGGGCUCAAACUCCUGGCCACAAGCAAUCCUCCUUCCUCGACCUCCCAAAGUGCUGGGAUUACAGGUGUGAGUCACCACACCCUGCUAGAAGUCAUUUUUCUCUGGUGACUUAAGACUUUGUUUAUGAAGGUGGGAUGGGCCAGUGUAUGUAUUGAUAGGGGAAAAUCUUUGCAAAUGUGGACAAGGACACAGAAAAAAAAAUGGACAUUUUGCUUGGACAUUGCCCCUGAGACAAUUAUUUCAAGACUUGGUUACAGCUUUUGGCUAUGGGACCUUGGGCAAGUUUCUUCCCUUCUCUGAGACUUGGCGCCCCCAUCUAUAAGGUGGGAUCAACAAAGCCAGCCCACCUGAGUCCCAGAGUUGUUAUGAGAGAGGGGCCUAUAAGAUAACUAACAUGCAAACAGAAUUUGUAGACUUCAAAGUGUUGAGCAUGUUGAGCACAUGUGAAGGGUUAUCUCCCCACCCAGAGGAAAACAGGGGUACAAACGUGGAGACUAUCAUGUCUUUCGGCUAUCUUCUGCAUGUUCAGUGUCAGUGGAGAGGCUCAGAAAAUGUUUUGUCUACUAUGGUUCAAGGGUAGAUUGGGCACUGGGAAGCAACCAGUGCCCAGGAGGGGUGGAAGGAAUCUCUGAGUCAGAGGUGAGAAUGGAAGAGGCAAAGGAUGUAAAGAUCUUGAGUAGGAUCUUGAGCAAAGUUAAUAAUAAUAAUUUUUAAAGCUUAUAGUUUAUAGCAUUCUACUUUUUGAGAAAACACUUGUGCAAAUACUAAUCUUCAUAACAACUCUGAGAAGUGAGAACUAUAAUUAUCUCAAUUUUACUGCUGAGGCCCAGAGAGUGAAAGUCAUUUAUCCAAAGACACACA
rnacentral:lncRNA from 10 species